UCUUUGUCAUAAAAUCUUUGCCAAGUCCUAUGUCUAGAAUGGUAUUUCCUGAGUUAUCUUACAGGGUUUCUAUAGUUUUAGGUCUUACAUUUACAUCUUUACA